CCUACGGGAGGCAGCAGUGGGGAAUAUUGCACAAUGGGGGAAACCCUGAUGCAGCGACGCCGCGUGAGUGAAGAAGUAUUUCGGUACGUAAAGCUCUAUCAGCAGGGAAGAAAAUGACGGUACCUGACUAAGAAGCCCCGGCUAACUACGUGCCAGCAGCCGCGGUAAUACGUAGGGGGCAAGCGUUAUCCGGAUUUACUGGGUGUAAAGGGAGCGUAGACGGCAGCGCAAGUUUGGAGUGAAAUCCCAUGGCUUAACCAUGGAACUGCUUUGGAAACUGUGCAGCUAGAGUGCAGGAGAGGUAAGCGGAAUUCCUAGUGUAGCGGUGAAAUGCGUAGAUAUUAGGAGGAACACCAGUGGCGAAGGCGGCUUACUGGACUGUAACUGACGUUGAGGCUCGAAAGCGUGGGGAGCAAACAGGAUUAGAUACCCUAGUAGUC
rnacentral:rRNA from 1 species